rnacentral:rRNA from 1 species
UCAAGCUACAAAGGGCGCAUGGUGAAUGCCUUGGCAUCAGGAGCCGAUGAAGGACGUGAUAAGCUGCGAUAAGCUUCGGGUAGGCGCACAUAGCCAGUGAUCCGGAGAUUUCCGAAUGUGGGAACACACAUGGGAAACCCCAUGUAUCGUAUAGUGAAUACAUAGCUAUACGAGGGUAAACCUAGGGAACUGAAACAUCUAAGUACCUAGAGGAAGAGAAAGAAAAAUCGAUUUCCUAAGUAGCGGCGAGCGAAAGGGAAAGAGCCCAAACCAAAGAUUUAUCUUUGGGGUUGCGGACAGAACAUUAACGAGAAGUCGUGAUUAACCGAACACAACUGGAAAGUUGGACCGUAGGAGGUAAUAGUCCUGUAGGUGAAAGUCAAGAUAAUCAAGUUCUGAUCCAGAGUACCACGAGACACGUGAAACCUUGUGGGAAGCAGGGAGGACCACCUCCCAAGGCUAAAUACUACCUGAUGACCGAUAGUGAAGCAGUACCGUGAGGGAAAGGUGAAAAGAACCCCGGGAGGGGAGUGAAAUAGAACCUGAAACCCUGCACUUACAAGCUGUGGGAGCACAUUACUUGUGUGACCGCGUACUUUUUGUAGAACGGGCCAACGAGUUACGUUAAGUAGCAAGGUUAAGCACUUAAGGUGUGGAGCCGUAGCGAAAGCGAGUCUUAAAUGGGCGAUUAAGUUACUUGGCGUAGACCCGAAACCGGGCGACCUAUCCAUGAGCAGGUUGAAGCGAAAGUAAAAUUUCGUGGAGGACCGAACCCACGAGCGUUGAAAAGCUCGGGGAUGACUUGUGGAUAGCGGUGAAAUUCCAAUCGAGCCCGGAGAUAGCUGGUUCUCCCCGAAAUAGCUUUAGGGCUAGCCUCAAGCGUAGAGAAACGGAGGUAGAGCACUGAAUGUCCUAGGGGGUAUUGCACUUACCGAAGACUAUCAAACUCCGAAUGCCGUAUUCUUUUGCUUGGGAGUCAGACUAUGGGUGAUAAGAUUCAUAGUCAAGAGGGCAACAGCCCAGAUCGUCAGCUAAGGUCCCUAAAUGUAAGUUAAGUGGUAAAGGAUGUGGAAUUGCACAGACAACCAGGAUGUUGGCUUAGAAGCAGCCACUCAUUUAAAGAGUGCGUAAUAGCUCACUGGUCGAGUGAUUGUGCGCCGAAAAUGUACCGGGGCUAAACUGUGUACCGAAGUCUAGGGAUCGUGAUAAACGAUCGGUAGGGGAGCAACGUGUGCGGGCUGAAGCCGAAGCGAAAGCGACGGUGGACUGCACGGGAGAGAGAAUGCCGGCAUGAGUAGCGAGAGCAAAGUGAGAAUCUUUGCCGUCGAAAGCCUAAGGUUUCCUGAGGAAGGCUCGUCCUCUCAGGGUAAGUCGGGACCUAAGCCGAGGACAAGAGUCGUAGGCGAUGGACAACAGGUUGAUAUUCCUGUACCGUACUUAAGCGUUUGACUGAAGCAGUGACACAGAAGGAUAGACAGAGCGCGUGACUGGUAGAGCGCGUCCAAGCGAUGAGGGAGUUAAGUAGUGAAGAACGCUUAACAAUCCUGGGUCGUGAUGGGGACUGAAAAUAAGUAGGGAAGCUGUUGAAUUCACGCUGGCGAGAAAAGCUGCUAAGGAGCGAAAGGGUGCCUGUACCGCAAACCGACACAGGUAGGCGAGGAGAGAAUCCUAAGACGAGCGGGAGAACCCAUGUUAAGGAACUCGGCAAAAUGACCCUGUAACUUCGGGAUAAAGGGAGCCACGAGAGUGGCCGCAGAGAAUAGGCCCAAGCGACUGUUUACCAAAAACACAGGUCUGUGCGAAGUAGAGAUACGACGUAUACGGGCUGACGCCUGCCCAGUGCCGGAAGGUUAAGGGGAAGUGUUAGGGCAACCGAAGCACGGAACUUAAGCCCCGGUGAACGGCGGCCGUAACUAUAACGGUCCUAAGGUAGCGAAAUUCCUUGUCGGGU